CAUCCGUCCCUCGUGAAGGCUGAGAUCUGAUGGGUAGUGCGAAUGCACGAAAUGGGUGAUCCUAUGCUGCCAAGAAAAGCCUCGACGCGAGGUUCUAGCCGCCCGUACCCCAAACCGACUCAGGUGGUCAGGUAGAGAAUACCAAGGCGAUCGAGUGAAUCGUGGUUAAGGAACUCGGCAAAUUGCCCCCGUAACUUCGGGAGAAGGGGGGCCUGAGGCGUGAAGGCACUUGCUGCCGGAGCGUUUGAAGGCCGUAGAGACCAGGGAGAAGCGACUGUUUACUAAAAACACAGGUCCGUGCGAAGUUGCAAAACGAUGUAUACGGACUGACGCCUGCCCGGUGCUGGAACGUUAAGGGGACGGGUUAGCCGCAAGGCGAAGCUCAGAACUUAAGCGCCAGUAAACGGCGGUGGUAGCUAUAACCAUCCUAAGGUAGCGAAAUUCCUUGUCGGGUAAGUUCCGACCUGCACGAAUGGCGUAACGACUUCUCCGCUGUCUCAACCGCGAACUCGGCGAAAUUGCACUACGAGCAAAGAUGCUCGUUACGCGCAGCAGGACGGAAAGACCCCGGGACCUUUACUACAGCUUGGUAUUGGUGUUCGGUGCGGCUUGUGUAGGAUAGGUGGGAGACGGUGAAGCGGGCACGCCAGUGUUCGUGGAGUCAACGUUGAAAUACCACUCUGGUCGCUCUGGAUAUCUAACCUCGGUCCGUGAUCCGGAUCAGGGACAGUGCCUGGUGGGUAGUUUAACUGGGGCGGUUGCCUCCUAAAAUGUAACGGAGGCGCUCAAAGGUUCCCUCAGCCUGGUUGGCAAUCAGGUGUCGAGUGUAAAUGCACAAGGGAGCUUGACUGUGAGACUGACAAGUCGAGCAGGGACGAGAGUCGGAAUUAGUGACCCUCCCGUGGUUUGUGGAAACGCGGGGGCUCAACGGAUAAAAGGUACCCCGGGGAUAACAGGCUGAUCUUGCCCAAGAGUCCAUAUCGACGGCAUGGUUUGGCACCUCGAUGUCGGCUCGUCGCAUCCUGGGGCUGGAGUCGGUCCCAAGGGUUGGGCUGUUCGCCCAUUAAAGCGGUACGCGAGCUGGGUUUAGAACGUCGUGAGACAGUUCGGUCCCUAUCCGCUGCGCGCGCAGGAAACUUGAGAAGGGCUGUCCUUAGUACGAGAGGACCGGGACGGACGAACCUCUGGUGUGUCAGUUGUUCCGCCAGGAGCACCGCUGAUUAGCUACGUUCGGAAGGGAUAACCGCUGAAAGCAUCUAAGCGGGAAGCUCGCUUCAAGAUGAGGUUUCCAUGGGGUUUACCCCGAGAGGCUCCCAGCUAGACUACUGGGUUGAUAGGCCGGAUGUGGAAGCGAGGACUAAAGACUCGUGAAGCUGACCGGUACUAAUAAGCCGAUAACUUU
rnacentral:rRNA from 1 species